rnacentral:rRNA from 1 species
GACGAACGCUGGCGGCGUGCUUAGCACAUGCAAGUCGAACGGAAAGGCCCUGCUUUUGUGGGGUGCUCGAGUGGCGAACGGGUGAGUAACACGUGAGUAACCUGCCCUUGACUUUGGGAUAACUUCAGGAAACUGGGGCUAAUACCGGAUAGGAGCUCCUGCUGCAUGGUGGGGGUUGGAAAGUUUCGGCGGUUGGGGAUGGACUCGCGGCUUAUCAGCUUGUUGGUGGGGUAGUGGCUUACCAAGGCUUUGACGGGUAGCCGGCCUGAGAGGGUGACCGGCCACAUUGGGACUGAGAUACGGCCCAGACUCCUACGGGAGGCAGCAGUGGGGAAUAUUGCACGAUGGGCGGAAGCCUGAUGCAGCAACGCCGCGUGCGGGAUGACGGCCUUCGGGUUGUAAACCGCUUUCGCCUAUGACGAAGCGUGAGUGACGGUAAUGGGUAAAGAAGCACCGGCUAACUACGUG